rnacentral:rRNA from 1 species
CGGGGAGGUUUGGCACCUCGAUGUCGGCUCAUCGCAUCCUGGGGCUGUAGUCGGUCCCAAGGGUUGGGCUGUUCGCCCAUUAAAGCGGUACGCGAGCUGGGUUCAGAACGUCGUGAGACAGUUCGGUCCCUAUCCGUCGUGGGCGUAGGAAAUUUGAGAGGAGCUGUCCUUAGUACGAGAGGACCGGGAUGGACGCACCGCUGGUGUACCAGUUGUUCUGCCAAGGGCAUAGCUGGGUAGCUAUGUGCGGAAGGGAUAAGUGCUGAAAGCAUCUAAGCAUGAAGCCCCCCUCAAGAUGAGAUUUCCCAUAGCGUAAGCUAGUAAGAUCCCUGAAAGAUGAUCAGGUUGAUAGGUUCGAGGUGGAAGCAUGGUGACAUGUGGAGCUGACGAAUACUAAUAGAUCGAGGACUUAACCAU